CCAGGUCUCCAGGCGCUCCCAUGGCAGCGGCGGGCGGCCGGCGAGCAGCGCUUCCGCUUCCGGCGGCCAGACAACGGCAGGGCCCGGCCGCGCUAAGGCCGCGGCGGGCGGCGGGGUGCGGUGGUGGGAAUCUGCGCCGGGGAGGAGCAGAGGCCGACAUGUGGCCGCCGCCGCUGCCCUGGCUGCUGGCGGGGCUGCUGCUAGCCGCCCCUUGCGGGGAGGCUGCGGCGGCGGCCCUUCACCGCCGGAGUGCCAACAUCGCCUCCCCGCUCCCCACCGACGUGGCCGGCGGGGCCGCCACACGAAGCAGCAGCAGCAGUCGCUUGGCCGAGGUGUCGGCGCCGCCCGAGCAGGGCCAGCCGAUGACCCAGCGCGCGCUGUCCGUGCUGGUGCUGGCCAGCGCCGCCCUCAUCGUCUACUUCGUAAUCCGGACCGUGCGGAUCAGAAGGCGAAGCAGAAAAACCCGAAGGUAUGGCGUUUUGGAUACAAACACAGAAAACAUGGAGCUGACCCCAUUAGAGCAAGAUGAUGAUGAUGAUGAUACAACACUAUUUGAUGCCAGUCAUCCUCGAAGUUAGAGAAGGGAUGUCAAGAUCACUUGAAUUUUAAAUGGAUAGGAAUUUAGUGGGCAAGAAGAUAAACACCAUUUGUCUUCAGCAUGUGAGUUCCAGAGAAAUGGAGGGGAAGAGAAGUACGUGCCUUUCAGUGAAAGAGCUUAAUCUUAGAACCAGAGAAGGAGACUGCUUCAUGCAAGGAAUAAGAAGCAAGAGGGUGUGCAAACUGGGGGGACUAAUUUAAUUUGUGUAUAUUAUAGCAUCCUUAAUUUGUUGCAAUAAAUACUGUACCAAUUUGUUGUACCUUUUUGUAUAUAAAGGAUUCUAAAUGUAAAGCCUACAGAGGGAGAGUGCACUAAAAUGAAAACCUAUUUGGAAGGGAGAUUACUUUUAAAACAGGGUAUUUUUUUGCUUGUUACAAAUCUUGUAUGCCAUAAGUGUGGUAUACACUUUUUCUACUGUUACCUGGAAUGUUGACAUAUUUUUUUUGCUGAUAUUAAAUUGUAAGUGAACAUAGCAUCUGUGGACCCUUCAGAAUUGUUAGAACUUGCUUUUAGUUCAGGAGAUGCUUUAUCCUUUACAAAUAAAAAGCCAAACUACU